rnacentral:lncRNA from 1 species
GCUCUCCAGCUUUGUAGAGAUGUCUGGACGUGGUAAAGGCGGUAAGGGCCUGGGCAAAGGCGGCGCUAAGCGUCAUCGCAAAGUUCUGCGCGACAACAUCCAGGGCAUCACUAAGCCCGCCAUCCGCCGCCUGGCCCGGCGCGGAGGAGUGAAGCGCAUCUCCGGUCUCAUCUACGAGGAGACCCGCGGUGUGCUGAAGGUGUUCCUGGAGAACGUGAUCCGCGACGCGGUCACCUACACGGAGCACGCCAAGCGCAAGACCGUCACUGCCAUGGAUGUGGUCUACGCGCUCAAACGGCAGGGCCGCACCCUCUACGGCUUUGGCGGUUAAGGGACUCUCGUCUGUCGUCUGAUCUCACAAAACCAAAGGCCCUUUUCAGGGCCGCCCACCUUUUCCUAUUAAAAGGGCGAGCAUGAUUCGUUUAACUUUUG